rnacentral:ncRNA from 2 species
GGUGUUCGCGGGCCGUGGUGGACUUCCGGAGCCAGUACGGCGGCAGGAGAGGAAGCCCGGUGCGAAUCCGGCGCGGUCCCGCCACUGUGACCGGGGAGCUGAUCCCCGGGAGCCAGGAACUCUCACCGCCGGUCUCUUCCAA